GACGAACGCUGGCGGCGUGCUUAACACAUGCAAGUCGAACGGAAAGGCCCUGCUUUUGUGGGGUGCUCGAGUGGCGAACGGGUGAGUAACCGGUGGGUAACCUGCCCUUGCCUUUGGGAUACCUUCAGGAAACGGGGGCUAAUCCCGGAUAGGAGCUCCUGCUGCAUGGUGGGGGUUGGAAAGUUUCGGCGGUUGGGGAUGGACUCGCGGCUUAUCAGCUUGUUGGUGGGGUAGUGGCUUACCAAGGCUUUGACGGGUAGCCGGCCUGAGAGGGUGACCGGCCACAUUGGGACUGAGAUACGGCCCAGACUCCUACGGGAGGCAGCAGUGGGGAAUAUUGCACAAUGGGCGGAAGCCUGAUGCAGCAACGCCGCGUGCGGGAUGACGGCCUUCGGGUUGUAAACCGCUUUCGCCUGUGACGAAGCGUGAGUGACGGUAAUGGGUAAAGAAGCACCGGCUAACUACGUG
rnacentral:rRNA from 1 species